CCGCCACCCGCCCACACUCCCCUGCAAACCACCAGGACGUUCAAUUAAUCAUCUCUUACAUUAGUAAUCCCCCAACUGCUGUUGUCCCCUUAGGCCAAGUCCAGCACUCUGAAUGUAUCUCUCCUCGUCCUCUACCUGCAGACAAUGUGGAACUCUGAAGACUCUCUCUUAAAGUGGUUUCCUUCUUUUGUAUUCUACUUUUUUCUCUGCUGAAACGCCUCCGAAAAGAAGAGGAAAGUAUAAAUUCAUAUUUUCUCUUUGAAGUCAUCAAUAUUAACGAGUAGUUACCGCAAGAGACAGGGGAGUAUAGUACACAGUAGACCCCGAAAUAAGUCUCAGAAAGUGUUUCAGUGUUGCCGAAAAUAUAUAUAUAUAUAUAUAUAUAUAUAUACAUAUCUAGAAAUACAUAUGUAUAUAUAUGUUUUUUCAGCCGGAACAGAAACUGGAAAUCCACCAAGAGGAAACACACACACCCACCCAAACACCCACAUACACACACACACAGAAACAAACCGACAGUAGUUUUUUGUCACCAGACAUCACAACAUGGAAGUAACAAUCCGAACUCAGAACACAGCGACAGAACAACAGCGAGACACGUCGGCACAGGAGCCACUGUUUCGCGGCGGCAGUGGCAGCGGCAGGGAGCAGCUUCAAUGUAAUUGCCUUCCGGUCAAAGCGAGCCACAAACCCACUACACCCUGUACAGAAGUGGAGCAGAGGGGAAGACAGAGGGAUGGGAGGAGGAGGAGGAGGAGGAGGAGGAGGAGGAGAGCGAGGAGGAGGUGGCGGGGCUGGCCCACUUCAGGCCAAGCAGGAGAAGGAGGAGGAGGCUACAGCCCCCACCCAAUCAGUGCGUCUCCCCUCGUCCCUCCCCCUGCUGCUCGCCGGCCUCCUCAGACUCCUCAGAGCCUCCAGCUUCAUUUGAAGACAGUAUCUUAAUUAUGGAUUUUUUGACUGCAUCCUCUUUUCUUUGGGGGGGGGGGGCGUUGUGGGUGGGAUGUUGGGGGAUUGGGGCAGGGGAGGAGGGGUUUGGGGGUCGGGUGAGGUUUGUUACCCUAUCCCCCCCCCAACCCCCAACCUGGUACUAUUAUUAAAAUCUAUCCAGUGUAAGUGGAUGCGCUUGGUGUGUUUGUGUGUGUGCGCGUGUGUGAGUGUGCGUGUGUGUGUGUAUGGUUAGGGACAUACUGUAAAUGUUGCAAUCGCAUUGGCCACUGCAGAAGGUCGAACUGUGUACAUAUAGCAGACCACACAAUACAACCAGAAAGAACUUUAUUACUACUCUGUAUAUAGAAGAAAAAAAAAACGGAUGAUAAAAAGCAACAAAAAAGUAACUAUGAAUACUAUGAAAGUGACUUCUUGUACUGCAACGGACCGGCAAAAGAGAAAACAAAAUAAAAUGUUUUGGAGUUUGUGACCUG
ensembl:lncRNA